GCGGUCGGCCUUAGCGCGGUGGUCCCACCUGACCCCAUGCCGAACUCAGAAGUGAAACGCCGUAGCGCCGAUGGUAGUGUGGGGUCUCCCCAUGCGAGAGUAGGGAACUGCCAGGC
rnacentral:rRNA from 1 species